rnacentral:rRNA from 1 species
AGUGAUCGGAUAUUGGGCGUAAGCGCGCGUAGGCGGUUUCUUAAGUCUGAUGUGAAAGCCCACGGCUCAACCGGGGAGGGUCAUUGGAAACUGGGAAACUUGAGUGCAGAAGAGGAAAGUGGAAUUCCAUGUGUAGCGGUGAAAUGCGCAGAGAUAUGGAGGAACACCAGUGGCGAAGGCGACUUUCUGGUCUGUAACUGACGCUGAUGUGCGAAAGCGUGGGGAUCAAACAGGAUUAGAUACCCUGGUAGUCCACGCCGUAAACGAUGAGUGCUAAGUGUUAGGGGGUUUCCGCCCCUUAUUGCUGCAGCUAACGCAUUAAGCACUCCGCCUGGGGAGUACGACCGCAAGGUUGAAACUCAAAGGAAUUGACGGGGACCCGCACAAGCGGGGGAGCAUGUGGUUUAAUUCGAAGCAACGCGAAAAACCUUACCAAAUCUUGACAUCCUUUGAAAACUCUAAAGAUAGAGCCUUCCCCUUCGGGGGACAAAGUGACAGGUGGUGCAUGGUUGUCGUCAGCUCGUGUCGUGAGAUGUUGGGUUAAGUCCCGCAACGAGCGCAACCCUUAAGCUUAGUUGCCAUCAUUAAGUUGGGCACUCUAGGUUGACUGCCGGUGACAAACCGGAGGAAGGUGGGGAUGACGUCAAAUCAUCAUGCCCCUUAUGAUUUGGGCUACACACGUGCUACAAUGGACAAUACAAAAGACAGCUACACCGCGAGGUCAUGCAAAUCCCAUAAAGGUGUUCUCAGUUCGGAUUGUAGUCUGCAACUCGACUACAUGAAGCUGGAAUCGCUAGUAAUCCGUAGAUCAACAUGCUACGGUGAAUACGUUUCCCGGGCUCUUGUACACACCGCCCGGUCACACCACGGAGAGGUUGUGACACACCGAGUACGGUUGCAGUACCCUAUCUGUAUGGGAAGCCUAUGUACCGAUC